GCGCGGUCCGGCCGCGCUGCGCGGUCCGGCCGGCAGAGGGCACUGGCGGAGCGGGACUGGCUGAGGGCCCCGCCGGGCCCAGCAGCACCUGCUCGGCCCAGGCCCAGAGCGCCCGCGGCUUGGGAACGUCCCUCAGGGCUCUCCCCAUGAGGGCACCGGCUACAGGAGUGACCAGUGGGGUCCUUGGGCAGACCAAAUCUCUCCUAAGGAUGGAUCUCUUCCAUAGGACGGGGAUGGAAGUAAGACGCCUCUGAGGAAAGAGUCUGGGAAUGUGGCACUUUUCUUCCCCUCUCCCAUCCACCAGCCUCCAUCCAGUGACCUGCACUUUGAACAGCCACUGAACAGCUGGGGGAGAUGGGGAUUUUUGGAGCCAGAACACCAUCCCCAUGUCCCUUGGCUGACUCUGGCCAGGACCCACAUUUCUGGGGGACCCACCCUCUUGCAGCCUGCAGAGCCCUCACUCCCGUUAGCAAGCAGGUUUGCUUUAUUUCAAGUUAACAAAAUGACAUGGGCUGCAUUAUUUGAGCUCAGGACCCUCCUCGACCUGUUGGCCGCUGUUUCCCAGCACUGCACCUCUUCCCAAGGAAGGGAACCAGCCAGCUCUGCCUGGAACCUGCAGCUCCAGCACCGGCCGGCAGCUCAUGCCGACGGCGUGGGCAGAAAUACCGGGAUGCCAUGCACUACAACUCUGUGCUACCAGAGCAGAAAUCGUAGGUGGGCUGGAGCACUGGCUCCGAGCAGGCCAUUCCAUCUACAGCCAAUCUCCAUAUUCAAGGUCCAGGAGCAGAGUUUCCAGGCUGCAGCUUCAAUUUUUUCUGAUCCACCAAGUCAAUUGGAUGCACAUGCAAGCUGGAUCCUGAGAUUUUAUGGCUUUUUAAUGAGAAGAUGUGUGGGUACACCAUGGGAAGCUCCCUGUCUAUACAGCUGUCACCAGCUCUGCAAUAACAAGAAUCAUGGCUUUGGCUCUCAGCUCUGAAGCUCAUCUCUUCACAUUCUGAAGUGAAGAUUUCUCUGAAUAAAUGAAUAAACUGAGAUCUUCAAAUGAAUGACAGAUUCUUCCUCAGGUCAGCUUUGCAGAGGAAGCAAAUAUUUCAGGAGAGUAUGGUUACUGCUCAUAGCUCUCUGGAGCCAGCCUGCUAACUCCUCUGCGGUGGCUGUAAAUCUGGUGGUGGUUCAGCUGAAGGACCUCACAGAUGCUAUUUCAGGCUGAUAUAAUGUACCAUAAAUGGGAUUGAAAGCACCCAUCUAUAGCAGACAAAGCCUUUCUGCUUCAUUCAAACACCGAGGAAACCGACCAUUGUAUAUAUGCACAGUUGGGAUUCAUCCAAAAGUGAGUGGUAGCCAGAAGAAUUUACACAUUCCCUGGCUAGGGAACAUGUUGAUUUCAGAAGGCAGCAAAGGUAACACAAGGAUACAGGGAGACUCCCUUGCCUGGCAUUUAGUAUUUGAAUCUCAUCCUUUGACUCACCAUGAAAGGGAAGAGUCCCAGAAGGACAGAAGAGCCCCCAUCACAAAUGAUAUUCCUCAUUUAGAGGCAACAAGGUAUUUGGUCUCCAUGGGAUGGCAAGAAAACAGAACUUGCUCUUGGGGUCUCUGGCUGAAUUUUAGGGGGUGCCUAUCUAGCUGAAAUGAUACA